AGUCGAUUAAGCGCUUCAGCCGAGGAAGCUCGGAUCUCUGAGAACUAAAGAAGAGAUUGAUGGUUUCAGAAUUGUCAAAUUGUUUCUGUCUUGUCCAAUUAUCCACUUGGAUCUCUAAAAGCUCCAGCAGAAAUCGAUGAUCUUUAAGCAGGGAAUCCACGGAUAGUAGCAGCCGGUGGCCGCGGAUAGAUCUCGCGAUCCACGGCCUACCAGAGAAUGGAAAGUGUUUGAUCUACUCACUCGUUUUGGAGCGCGGUUCUCUGGGUCCAUCGACGGUCACCUUGAUGGCUCUCGUAUACGUGGCCACUUGGGGUGGUGUCGUUGAUACAGUAAUUGUGAUGCUGAAACUUUUUCCUAAAACAGAAAAAUCGAAUAUGAUAAAAGAACGAUAUGUAUAUGUACC
rnacentral:misc_RNA from 1 species